CUCCAAUCUCUCGUAUUUUUUCAUUAGCCCCCUUUAAGGAGGAGAAAGAACUAAAUGGGGAGGAAUGUGAUCGAAUUAGCUUUUUUAAAUUCACUCAUUUCAAGGAUGGAAAGGGUUGGAUAACUUCUAAAGCUGAGGUAAAAUAUAAUGAAAUGAUAGAGUUGAAGGAAAAAAGUUCAUCAAAUGGAAAACCAUUAACUACAGAUGAAAUUUGUGAUGAAGUGCUUAGAACUCAGUCGGGCUAUAUUAAAAGACUUGGGUAUGGGCUAAAGCCUAAGAAGAAAACAAGACCAGAUCUUCAAAUUAAGAGACUUGUUGAUGCUCUUAAAGAAUCUAAACAUAGGUUUAAAGAAUCAGAGGAAAGAAAUAUCAAAUAUCAAGAGAAGGUAGAUGAACUUACAGUUCGCUUAAAACAACAAGAAAAAAUGUUAUAGAUGUUGUUAGCUGUUGGAUAUCAUCCACAUACUUCUUUAAGGUAAAAAUCAAAAGUAAUUUGUAUUUGAUGCAACCCAUAUCAUUAUAUCAAAUGUUCUAGAUACUAAAAUUCUAAUGCACAACAAUAUAUUAUUCUUGAUGCUAUUACAAAA